CCUACGGGAGGCAGCAGUGGGGAAUUUUGGACAAUGGGCGAAAGCCUGAUCCAGCAAUGCCGCGUGCAGGAUGAAGGCCUUCGGGUUGUAAACUGCUUUUGUACGGAACGAAAAAGCUUCUCCUAAUACGAGAGGCCCAUGACGGUACCGUAAGAAUAAGCACCGGCUAACUACGUGCCAGCAGCCGCGGUAAUACGUAGGGUGCAAGCGUUAAUCGGAAUUACUGGGCGUAAAGCGUGCGCAGGCGGUUAUGUAAGACAGAGGUGAAAUCCCCGGGCUCAACCUGGGAACUGCAUUUGUGACUGCAUGGCUAGAGUACGGUAGAGGGGGAUGGAAUUCCGCGUGUAGCAGUGAAAUGCGUAGAUAUGCGGAGGAACACCGAUGGCGAAGGCAAUCCCCUGGACCUGUACUGACGCUCACGCACGAAAGCGGGGGGAGCAAACAGGAUUAGAUCCCCUGGUAGU
rnacentral:rRNA from 1 species